ACAGAGGUCCCGAGCGUUAGGCGGAAUCACUGGGCUUAAAGCGUGUGUAGGCGGAUCGUUAAGUGCCUUGUGAAAUCCCACGGCUUAACCGUGGAACUGCUUGGCAUACUGGCGGUCUUGAGCCACUUAGGGGCAACCGGAACAAAUGGUGGAGCGGUGAAAUGCGUAGAUAUCGGGAGGAACACCUGUGGCGAAAGCGG
rnacentral:rRNA from 1 species